GUAAUUCCUUGGACGAAACAUUCAUAGCCAGUGCUAUCGGAUCUGGUCUCCAACUGAAAAAACGGGGAAGUUGAGCAUUCAAACGAGAAGCGAAAAAGAUCUAUUUCCAAUAGACCCUAUAGGUUCCACAUGUCUUGGAAGACCAUGGAAUCCAAGUGCCAGUCGCUGGAAUCUCUGAGUUGGUGUGAAUACCAGUCCGCCGUAGUGUUGGAGAGACCUUGAAUAUAUUCUGCCAUGACUGAAAUGCCAUGUAUCAGGUAAAAUUGCCAGAAAUCACAAAGCAUAUAGGUCAGAAUGUUGUAUAUUGUGCCUCCAAGUGACUGAUGUAGCCGACUGCUCACACGUUGUCCAUCUUCAGAAAGAUGACGCAUUGGGCUUGAGUUGGGGAGAAACUGUGGACAGCAAAGGAACCGGCCAGCUGUUCCAAACAACUGAUGUGGAG